GCAAAUCGUUGAAUAGGUAAUUUGUAUCUUUCGUGUAUGCCUGUAUUUGGGUGCUUGGAUUUGCCUGCAGGAGCUGGAUGGUAGUUCACUAAUUUGGUACCUCCUUUGAAAUCUUUUUUAUUACUACUUGAAUUUAUGGGUUAGAAAUGGAAUGGAAACAACUGUCAUUUGAUGAUUAUUUGUUACAAUCACAAUUGCAUCUAAUGGGAUAUUCUCAGGUCCUUUUGCAUUGUUUUUGUGAAAUUUCUAGCUCAUUUAUACUUCAAUUAGUCUGUGAUUAGCAUAUUUUAACUUCUUUUAUUUUGCUGGAUGUUGUACGUUUGGAAAUUGAAAAUUGAUAUCACUUGGCUGCAUACGCUUGUUCCUUUAAUUUAGUCCUUGAAAUAUUGGAAAUUUGUUGUUUGGUAUUGGCAAUUGGGUUCAAUCACUCAGACCAUUGUUAAUUA
rnacentral:misc_RNA from 1 species